UGCUGAGGUAUAAUAUGCAUACAAUAAAGUGCCUUAAGCACAGUAAUUGCAAGUGUACAGUUCAAUGACUUUUAUAUACGCAUAUGUAUGUGCACAUUCCUCUCAUAGCACCAGCUCCUUCUCAGCACUCAUAUGGUUAUUGUUACUUAUCUGAUUUGCAAAGAGAGAGGAUUUGAUAACACACCAUUAUGGAAGAAUCACAGGGAAAUAGAUACCGACUGCUGGCUGGGUGUACAAACCCUUACAACCCCUUUGGAGGGCAAUUUCACAGCAUCUAUUAAAUUUAAAAAUGCAUGUAUCCAUUGAGACAUCAAUUCCUCUUUCAGAAAUUGAUCCGACAGAUGCACUCUUACAUAUGUGUGAAGGCAACCAGCUGUCCCUCUACGAGGCUCUCAAUAAUCUUAGUGCAGAUCGUGGGUUUGGGAGCAAGCCAGAGAUGGAUUUGAGUCAUAACACAACCAUGUAGCAGCUUUGCAUCCCCGGGCACGUCAGAGGGCCGCUCUGUGCCUCGGUUUCCUUGUUGGGAAACUAGGAUCAGAAGUCCUGCCCAGGGCCUCCUCGUUUUCUCCCUGCUGUUUCCAUCACCAGUGGGCCCCACCUAAGCCACAUUCCUGAGCUGAAGGUCUGCGGACGUGGGACGUGGGGUUUUGCACUGCGUAAUCAGACAUCCAGGGCUCUCUGGGUCUCCACCCUGGCCCCUCUCAGGCUCCACUCCAGCUUGGCUGUGUCUGGGCUCAGGGAACUGCCUCGGGCUACCUGGUCUAUUUCCAGGAGAUGAGUGAUUUUCCUUUCCAAAAAACCGAGGAGUACAACAUUGACUGGAUAUUCUGGAAGAUUCAGCUAGAUUGCUUUUACAAAUGAAGACACUGAGGUGCUAAGGGGUGAUGCAAUGUGUCUGGAAUUUCACAGCCAAGAAGGAGGAGAAAGGCAUGGAGAUACCAAAUGUUUCCUUUGAUCAAAUGGAUCCAUGUUUGCAAACAUGGUGUUGGAUUUAGUGAACAUGCGUUCAUCUAAUUCCCCUGCCUCUGAGGCCAAACUGUGACAAAAACAGGCCCACACAAACCGGCUUGUCUCUCUGCUCUCAUCUGACUUUCCUCUGUCUACUCGUCACCUCCCACCCUCAUUCGUGCUCAUCCCUGUGGCCACGCGGACACCAUUAUGUUCUUUGAAUGUGCUGAGUUCUUUCCCAUCUCAAGGCCUUUGCUCCUGCUACUUCUUUUGCUGAGAGUGCUUCUCCCUGGCCCUUUGCAGGACCAACUUCUCACCCUUGAGCUCAUGCAUUCGCUUAAAUGUCACCUUUUGUCCUUCCUACUUCCACCCCUCUCCUGUGCAGGGUACCACAAUGCUUUUGUUUUGUUCCUUCCUAGAUCAUAUUGCAAUGUGUGAUUCUGUUGUUUAUUUGCUUUUUACUACUUCUCCCGGGCUCCUUCCUCCAGUGGAUUGCACAUGCCAACAGUUUGUCUCAUUCAUCUGUAUCCUCGGGGGCUGGGCCAACGCCUGGUACUCCAUUCAAUCAAUAUUUGUUGAACCAAUGAAUGAAUCCAGUGGCUACUCAAUAAUUAGUGGUUUGCGUUUCCUUGUCUCCUUUGAGCAGCCGUCACCAUUCACACACAUUCACACUGGCACACACAACCUGAAUAGGACAAUGGAAAUAACAGCUUGGUGCGUGUAUCUAGUAUGUAUCAGAAAAACUGGCUAAACCAGUUGGCUUAGCUACUGUUUUCUGUUCUGUUUUGUUUAACUUUAAUAAGUUCUUUGGCCUCUGAGCUUCUUCUGGCCUGGGUGUACAUAUUCACAGAGAAGGGGAGUUUACAGUAAUGAUGACAUAUUAAGGAAUAUUAACAUAAUGAGCACUUUCAUUCAAUAGGUCACUACCAAAAAGAUACCCAAUAGGUGAUGACAGCAAAAAUGAUUCUUGAAGAGCGUUCCGUGCCCUUUGAAAGGGAGUAGGAGCCAAUCAGGUAAACUUGUCCAAUCCUUUUUGUUUAGGGAGCCCUUUCUCAAUACCUGGUGCUCAGCAAAGUGGGGAGGGGAGCGUUCUCACGGCUCCCGUGUGCUGAACGAGGAAGCAGAUGCAGAAUUGUUAAUUCUCAGGAAGUGUGCUAAGCAACACUGGGAUUUGCCACCCUGAGUUGGAUUAUGAGAUGUCUUUUCAAUAACAGCCUCAUUCUACGGUCCUGACCCAGUCUGGCUGGAAGUUCGAGAGGUUAGUGGCUGCUUUUCAAAGGCUUUUGCUUCUUAAAAAUUACACGUGAGGCAGCCUAUUUCUUCCCCUUGGUGACAGCUGGGGAAUUUCAUGUUGAAAAGAACGGACAGUGGUUGAUAUUUAGGGAUAACUAGGCAAUUGCAUUAUAUUUGAAGAAAGAGAGCUGUUAGUUUUUCUUCCCCUCCUUCCCUCCCUCGAGCCCUCCCUUCUUCUCUCUUU